UGUGUGUUCCCUAUGCAGAGGAGGUGCGC
rnacentral:piRNA from 1 species